rnacentral:lncRNA from 1 species
GUGGCUCCUUCACAAAUGAUUAGACACAAUCUCUUUAUUUCUGUACUUGUGAUGGUGAGUUCUCUUCAUGAUUUUGGAGCAGUGAGAUUGAAUGGAUACUGGUCUCCUGGGUUUUGGACUUGCAUUGGUCCUGUGGUCCCAUCUGUGUUAUUUUGCUGGGAAAUUUCUUCCCGUUGGACUGAGAAAGCUUACCCAAUGGGUGUACCAUCAUUGUGUCUUAAAAGAACACCCUUUUAAAUUCAGGGACUUAUAGGCAAAAGGGACUGUAGGCUUGUCUCAGAUGAGACGUUGAACCUUUUACAUUUGAGUUAAUGCUGGAAUGAGUUAAGACUUUUGGCAACUUUUGAAAAGGUGUGAUUGUAUUUUGCUCUGUGAGAAGGACAUGAGAUUCGGAGGGGUCAGGGUCAGAAUAACAUGGUUUGGCUGUGUUUCCCUACAGAAACUCAUGUGAAUUGUAAUCUUGAAUGUUGGAGAUGGGGCCUGGUGGAAGGUGAUUUAACCAUGGAUGGGAGGGGGUUGGAGUUGGAAGGAAAUAAAGUGGACAGUGUUGGGAGGAGUGGGUUGUCAGUAGGGUGGUGAGAGGAUGGUGGGUAUUAGGAAGCGGGAGUAGCCUGCUGCAGAGUCACAUCCUCAUGGAAAACCUCUGCUAGGGCAGUGCUCCUGUGGCUUUGCAGGCUUUAGCCCCCAUGGCUGCUCUCAUGGGCUGGGCUGGUGUUGAGUGCUUUUGCAUACUGAGGGUGCGGGCUGUUGGUGGGCUUAUGAAUCUGGGGUCUGGAGGAUGGUGGCCUCCUGUGUGGGGGCUCCAAGCCCAUAUUUCCCUUCUGCACUGCCAUAGUGGAAGUUUCCCAAGAGGCUCUGCCUCUGCAGGAGGCUUCUGCCUGGAAACAGUAGGCGGUGGUGUGUGUGGUGGAUCCUUCACCAGUGGUUAAUUUUGAUGCUGAUCUGAUAGUGAGUUCUCAUGUGAUCUGGUUGUAUAAUGGGCUGUGGCACCUCUUUUCUCUCUGUGUCUUGCUUCUAUUUCUGCCAUAUGAAACAUCUGAUUGCCACUUGGCCUUCUGAUGUGGUUAGGAGGGGCCUGAUCAGUGUGGGCCUGCUCAGUGGACCUAGUCAGUUGGGACUUGGUCAGUGAGGCCUGUUUAGUGGGAGCCUGGCCAGCAGGGGUCUGCUUAGGGAGGGUCUCAUUAGGGGGAUCCAGUAGUGGGGGUUUUGGCGAGUGGGGACCUAUUGGCAGCCAGUUGUUUGGUGUCUGGUCAGUGCAGACCUGGGCUGUGGGGCUUGACCAGUGGCGACCUGGUCAGCUGGGCUUAGUGGUGGCCUGGUCAGCAUGGGCUGGGUCACUGGUGACCAGGUCAAGGGCUGCUAUUCAGUGGAGGACUGGUCACAUGGGACCUAGUCAGCAGGGCCUGGUGGGCGUGUCCUCAUCAGUGAGUCCCUUGUCAGUGGGGACCUGAUCAGGGCAGCCUGGUCAUUGGAACCUCAUCAGUGGGGGCCUGGUCAGUGAUGACUUGGUCAGUGGUGGCUUUUGUAGCACUGGUCUAUGGGGUGACCCAGUCAGCGGGGACCUGAGUAGUCGGUGCCUGUUCAGUGGGGCCUACUCACUAGGGUCCCAGUCAGGGGCAUCUGGUCACCUCAGGCCUGGUUAGUAGGGGCCUGAUCAGUGGCAGCCUGUUCCCUGGAGGCCUGGUCAGUGGGGCCUCAUCUGUGGGGCCAGGUAAUGGGGUCAUGAUCAGUGGAAUCUGAUCAGUGAGGCCUUGUCAGUAAUGACCUAGUCAGUGAGGCCUUGUCAGUAAGGACCUGGUCCAUGAGGCCUUGCCAGUGAGGCCUUGUCAGUAAGGUCCUGGUCAGUGAGGCCUUGUCAAUAAGGACCUUGUCAGUGAGGCCUUGUCAGUGGGGCCUUGUCAGUAAGGACCUGGUCAGUGAGGCCUUGUCAAUAAGGUCCUGGUCAGUGAGGUCUUCUCAGUUAGGACCUGGUCCAUGAGGCCUUGUCAGUGGGGCCUUGUCAGUAAGGACCUGGUCAGUGAGGCCUUGUCAAUAAGGUCCUGGUCAGUGAGGACUUGUCAGUAAGGACCUGGUCCGUGAGGCCUUGUCAAUAAGGUCCUGGUCAGUGAGGAAUUGUCAGUAAGGAGCUCAUCCAUGAGGCCUUGUCAGUGAGGCCUUGUCAAUAAGGUCCUGGUCAGUGAGGCCUUGUUAGUAAGGACUUUGUCAGUGAGGCCUUGUCAGUGAGGCCUGGUCAGUAAGGUCCUGUUCAGUGAGGCCUUGUCCGUGAGGCUUUGUCAGUAAGGUCCUGGUCAGUGGAGUCAUGGUCAUUGUUGGCCUGGAAGCAGGGGUCUUGUUAGUGGGUCCUGGUGAUGGGGAUCUAAUCAGUGAGGGUGUGGUCAGGGAAGACCUGAUGUGUGGGGUCUGGUCAGCAGGAACCUGGUCAGUGGGGACUGCUGAGCGCUGCUUGGAGAAGCCAGGUGCAUUGCACGUUAUCGAGGGCCCUCUGGACAGCUGGGAUGGCCCAGUGAUGCCCAAUGGCCCGGUCAAAAGUAGACAAAGCAGUUGUUUGGAUGGACCUGGGAGAUGUUGCUCAGAGAUUCUGACAGGACAAAGGUGAAGAAAGGGUCAGAGUGUCUGGAGAGAUGGUCACAGUCUAUGGGCUGCACAGGAUGGAGAAAGCCAGGGAACAGGCAGGGUGGGCAGUGGGGUGCAGGGAGAGGCAGGUGCAUGGUGGGACGUCAGACCCUGUGAAGGCUGUGAGGGUGUCAGGUGGGUUGGGCUCCAGGUGCACCCUCAGUGCACUGGGUGGGUCUCACCCCAAGCUCCCUGGACCCCAGCCAGGUGAUGUGGUCACUCCCUGGGGGACUGCUCUCAGGCCCCGGCUACCUACCCUGGGCAGCGCUGUCCCAUCUCAGGACUGGACUUUCUCAGAUCCUGUAGAGGGCACAGACUCCACCCAGGAGGGGCAACCGCAUGGUGCAGCCUGAGCUCUCCAUGGGCCUGGAGCAUCCCCUGCCAGCCUUGUGCUCCCCAUUCUCCCAGGUCCCACUUUUCCAGUGUCAGCCAGCAGGGAUGCCCCGUCCUCCCUUCCCCAUGUGUCUCCUAGGCUGAAACUUGUGGCAGAUUGGGACAGGGAUGGUGCUUCCCUCAGGCCCAUUUGGGGAGGGGACUGGCUCCCAGACUGGUGCAGGUCCUCAGCUCUGCCUCGACUGGCUUAGAGUGAGAUGGAUCAGUCAGUUCCCUGAAGGUGAAGAUUAGAGACUGUCCCUGCUGUUGGGAGGCUAGUCUAGGGAUGGAGGACUUAACAGGUCCUCCCAGGCUGUCAGGCCUGGGCAGCACUGUCUUGUCUUAGGACUCAGAAAGUCCAGUCCUGAGAUGAGACAGUGCUGCCCAGGGCGGGUGUCUGGGACCUGACAACAUUCCCCCAGUGAUUGACCACAUCACACGUCCAGGGUCCAGUGAGCCUGGCCUCAGACGUGCCCAGUACACUGAAGGUGCACCUGGAGCCCACUCCACCUGAUGCCUCCACAGCCCUCGCAGGGCCUGACCUCCCAGCAUGCACCUGCCUCUCCCUGCACCCCAGCUGUCCACCAUGCCUGUUCCCUCACUUCCUCCAUCCUGUCCAGCGGGAUGGGAUGGACAUGGGAACAGCCUGUGUGCACAUUUCGUGGCGAGUGGGAAUGACACACCAUCUCUGGGAGGCACCAUGGUUCCUGGCAAACCCGAUCCCAAGACUUUAUCCUUGAGGUGGUUUUACCAAACCCCAAACCCAGAACUGCGGUUGUGGCUCAGGGGUCAGCUCCUGCUAGUGCCAGGACACUACUGGGAGGCUGGGACCCGACCAAAGCCCAUGGUGUCUCUGGCCUGAGGACCAGGUGUCUUGGGACCAUAAGGCCAGGCCACCAAUGGCCAUUGGGUCAUAGGGGCUCAGCCCCAAUCUUUGUCCUUCCCUGGCUCCUUCUGAUUCAGUCCCAUCAGGGCCCUGGAUCCCAAGACUCAGCAUCCAAGGUCCCCUCCAGGAAUCCUGGCAGCUCAGCAUACUUUAUCCUGUUUCAUCUGAGAGCAAAAAUGUAAAAUUGGAUGCACAGAAAAGUGACUCAAAGUGCUUAAUGACUAGAAGAAAUCUAGGAGCAGCAAGAAGGUAAUGUGGAGGGAGGGACCUCCAUGACCGGUGUCUGUAGAGCCAGGGGUACAGGCACCCAGUGCUGUGGCCUGGCACCACCUGCAUCUCAGAGGGUGGGUGGCACACUCCUUAACCAGAGGACAGCAGGCCUGGUCACCAGCUUUUCUACCUGUCCCUGUAAGCAUCACAUUGCUGGAGGAAAAUCUCAUGCCAGAGCUUGGACCAUCCCCUAGCUCAGGGGUUAGGGGUUGUCCCUUGGUGACCUAAAUGAAAAAACAGGUCCAGAACAGAGUUCCUGAUGCUGGACACUCAUUCAGUCUUUGAAUCGUGGGAGGGGAGGCCUGGUACUAGGUAGACCUAACCUCUUUGAGGAACCACAGAGCCCAAGGCUGGAAACCUCCAGAAUCCUCCACCCCCUUAUCCUCCCUGGGGACCCCUGUGGCCUGUCUCACUGAGCACUCUUCCAUCUGUAGAUGUCUGGGCUGCUGUACAAGGGAGUCCCCUUUCAGGUGUGGUGCUAGACAUGGUCACUCCUGCUGGAUGUCUAGGUGGUAGAAACCAAGGACCUAGGGAAAUACCAGGUACAGCCUUUCCACGCUCAUCCAGAGCAGGACAAACAGGCCAGGCGGUGUCAGGAGCCCAGGUCUCCAGCUGGAGGGAACGUCAACCCUGCAGUGGGAGCAGGGGCCCUUUGCACAUCCUAGGCACAGAUGGUAAUGUAGACACCACAGGUAAGCUGGGCUUGGUACCUACCCCUCCCCGGAUUCAGAAAGAAACCAAACAAGGAGCUUUGUGUGGAAUGAAACCUCCUUUCCUCCCAGAAGCACUGCUGAUUGUUUGGUGGUUGCCAUUUGUGGCAGUGAGCCCUUGUUUGUUCUGAGGUUGGGCUGGUUUCUCCUCUUGGCCCUGCCCUACAGAUCAUAAAGGAGAACAGCAAGACGUCCCCAGCAAACAUCCACAGAUGGCCUUGGAAAUAAGUCACCUUGUGAGAAACAUGUCAUGUUCUGGGAGGGAUAAGGCAUCAACCUCACCCUGCAGGAAUGCCAGUGAACAUAUUGCUGACAUCUUGGAGCUCAGUACCCUCAUAGUGUAACGGCGUCAGUAGAUCUGCCUGUGCUGGGACUUCCUGUACUACCCAUUCCUGAGGGGCGAUGCUUCUGCAGGGCCUGUGACUUGGUGCACAACUUCAGACACCAUCAUCUUGCAGCAGCACCGCACCCUCACUAGCCAGGGUGUUGAUGACUUCCUCAAGGCCAAGGCCACAUUCAAGGCUUCGGACUUCAUUGAUGCGCUUGUGCUGAGCAAGGUGGCUUCUCCGGGAUCUUAAUUCAGGAGGUAGAAUGGAGCUUGAGAUCAAGUGUCUGAUCAAGCCUCAGUGUAUGGGCGCUGUUCAUCCUCUGGUGCUGAAGCAGCCAAGAGACCCAAGUCUGCCUGGCUGCCUCUUAGGAUAUGACAGCAGAGCCAGUGGCCUCUACUAGAUCCUGUACAACCUCACAAAACACCCAGACAUCGGGAGUGCUGCCAGCCUGUGAUGCAAGAGUCCUAAUCCUGAAGACAUUGAAUGACCUGUCGUUGUGCUGUUUUUACCAAAAAGGAUCAUGAGGAUCAGAGAGGAAAAGUCACUUGCCCAAAGUCACACAGCUGAACAGUGGUGGAGUUCAACUUUGACCGUGGGCUGUCUGGCCCCAAGGUGUAUGCUUGCUUCUCUCCCAAGAGACUCCUUUCUUAUCAGGCUCAAAUGAAUGAAAGGAGGAUGUUAAAGACAACGCCAUUAUUGACGAGAUCACUCCCAAGCGGAUUGGAGAUUGUCCCAAUAUUUAGACCUAUAGCAAGGCCUUGGGAGAAAUGGUGGUGCAGCAGGAGAGCAGGAACCUAACCAUUGCCAUCCUAAGGCCCUCCAUUGUGUGGAGCAACGUGGCACCAGCUUUUCCUGGGUUGGGUUGAUAAUCUAAAUGGAUGUAGCCGACUCAUUAUUGCGGUAUGUAUAGGGAUGAAGAAGUAACUGUAAUGUAGUGGAGGAAUAGUAAGAAAAUUCUUAGUGCUGGCUUAGCUUAAUUGAUCCAAAAACAUAAAUGCUACUUUACUAUCAAUUGAAGCAUAUUAUUUCAAUUAUUCUGGUUAUAAUAUGGAGGCAGGAUGAAAUUGUUUUUAUUCUUUUAGAAUUUUUUUUUAUCAGGAAAACAGAGGUAAAGUGCUAUCAAUUACUAUUUAAGAGUUCUAUUUUGAAAAGUGAGAAUUAAGGAUUUUUCUUUUCUUUUUAAAAAAAACUUUUUUAAAAAUUAAAAAUAAAAGAAGCAAAAGUCUUAGGAAAAUGAAGCAAGUAGCCCUGCCACUCUAUGUACAGUAAUAACAAUAUCUGUCCCAGUUAUUAUGUACAAUAUUAUAAAAAAUGUCGCAGACAGUACAAAUUAAGGCCCUUAUUUCUCAAAGGACAUCAAGUCUUAUGCCCCGUGGGAGGGAAGAUGCCACUUAAUUAUUGCACCAUUUUGAAAAACAGAACUCGUCAAGGCGGAUAGUGGUCUUUUCCCACCUGGUCUUCAGUCACAGAUGGGGGCUGGGGCGGUGGCACCGUCUUCGUCGUCGAGGUAGACCCUAUGGAGCCACACCGCCCUGCCGGGUUCUCUGGGUGCAAUAAAUACCAGUCACAGUUUGGGAGGGGGCCGUGUGCAGGUGGGGAGGCCUCUGGGCUGCAUGUGCCGCUUCCUGUGCAGGGCAAGGUGGGCAGAGCGCAAGAAGGCAUGGUGGCACCAAUGGCCCUGAAAUGGCCAGUGGCCCCUGUGCUUGUGGUGGUGGAGCGUUAGCUUGUCUGAGUGAGCACGCUUCCAGCUGCUUCCAUCCCAGUGGCAGUGGUCGGGCUUGUCACUUGUGUGCUGCGCAGAUGUGCCUGCAGGGGAGAAUUCUUGCUGUAGGUCUGGCCGUAGCCACAUAGGUAUGCCUGGUGUUGCGGUUCCCAGGCCAGGAGCAGCUGUCACGCUUGGGCUUGGCCUCCAGCAGCUCCAGCGGGGACGCCGGUGCCACCACAAGGAGGCCGCGGGCGACUGGGGGUGCCAGGCCCAGGGCUGUGGCGGCGGCGGCCACCGCCUAAGAGACUAAAGACGGGCGUGGAGGGGCGGAGCUGGGCGGGGGGCGCCUCAUGAAGGCCGGGCUGGGUGUCCCAAACCAGGGCCACGGAAGGGCAGCGGGAAGGAGGCGUGCGGGCCGUAGGGGCUGAGGGGCAGGUGUUGGGGGCGGAAUGGGAGGGACCCGGGACCUCGCAUGCAUGAAGCUGCAGGCCCGGGGCGCCCUAGUGUUUGAGAGGACGCGCGAUCCAUACCUGAACCUGGGUGCGUAGCCGCCGCCAUCUGCUUCAGGGUGCUGGGCUUUGACCAGGUGGCUGGGCAGCACCAGUUGAAAGCGGUUGAGCAGGCAGGGCGCAGUGGCUCACGCCUGUAAUCCCAGCACUUUGGGAGACCAAGGCGGGCCGAUCACGGGGUCAGGAGAUGGAGACCAUCCUGGCUAACAGGGUGAAACCGCGUCUCUACUAAACAUACAAAAAAAAAAAAAAAGUAGCCGGGCGUGGUGGCGGACGCCUGUAGUCCCAGCACUUUGGAAGGCUGAGGCGGGCGGAUCACGAGGUCAGGAGAUGGAGAACAUCCUGGCUAACAGGUGAAACCCCGUCUCUACUAAAAGUACAAAAUCCAAUUAGCCGGGUGCGGUGGCGGGCGCCUGUAGUCCCAGCUACUCCGGAGGCUGAGGCAGGAGAAUGGCGUGAACCCAGGAGAUGGAGCUUGCAGUGAGCCGAGAUCGCGCCACUGCACUCUAGCCUGGGCAACCCAAGGAGACUCCAUCUCAAAACAACAACAACAACAACAACAACAACAACAACAACCAGCUGAGCAGCGCGGGCCAUCUGGCAGCGGGUCCAGCUCCAGGGCGCCGUAGGGCAGCGGAGUGCAGUGUUCGGGUAAUAGGACGCAGACGGCGGGGUCGCCGGGGGCUUCGGGGUGGCCUCAGCCCCAGGCCAUCCAGCCCUGUGGACCGAAUGGAGUCCCACACGCUGUUGAGGUAGUUGUGGGUUCCCCUGGCCUCGGGCUGGGCGCGGGGUCAGCGCGCCUGCAGGCGGCGCUUGCGGUACGGGCUGGUGAAAGUGGAGACGGACGGCAGGAUGGAUUCACUUGGCCACAUGGCACGAAGCUGGGAAGACGGACACCGGAACGUGAGGAACACGAGUAGUUCAAGAAAAUGCUGAAGAUGCGCUUGGCUGGGAAGCUAGGAUAGGCUGACGAAGUCAGACUUAGUGUGGGAACCUGGCUGGGAAAGGGUUUCUUUUGGCCAUAAAAGCUACUCCAAUGGCUGUGGGAGACUUAAUUCCAAUUCCAGGUGAUACAGCCGUCAGUCUCCCACUAGCUGUAGGAUGGUGUGCUGCAGUUCACAGGGUAAAGGAGAUAGAAGUGGAUGAAAUGAGAGAGUAUUUUUUUAACUGAACUCUGAUUAAUGCCAAAAGUGUUCAAUCACUAUGUGUGGGGAAGCUUCCUGGUACAAAGGAAAAAAAACAGGUUGUUCAUACACUUGGCUGUGUUAACCUAAGUCAAUGUUAGUCUACUACUGUACAUCUGGUAACCUCAAUCCCUGCAACCGAGGCAAAAUGGGAUUCCAGGUCUUGGCAACCUUUGAAAUUCCAAUUCCAUUUGCGAGAGCUUUGAGGAGGCCAUAUGCUGAUUUUACCACCAGCAACUUCACAACCCAGUACUGGAAUGCCAUCAGCCAGCAGGCCCCUGCCAUCAUCUGUGACUUCUAUCUGUGGCUCACUGGAAGGAAACCCAGCUACCGAAGGAAGAUACCCUCAUCAACCCAAUUUUACAAAUGGAGAAAUAGAAGCUAAGGGAAGAAUCUGAAGUAGUCUCAAAGGCAGUGACAGGAAGGAUGUGGAGAAAGCUGAGUGUCAAAGUCAGUAUUCAUGACUAGAUUUACUGCUACUUAGAGAUGAAUGAAGAAAUCAGAGGGAACGCAGUGUGCUGAUGCUAAAGCAGCUGUCACCACUCAGCUGUGUGACAUAGGACAUCUUCUUCCUCUGUCUCACUUGAAUAAUAUGAUGUGUCAGAGGAGACAUGAUUGUAAUUGCCUAAAGCAAUUUUUGUGAUCAAGAAUCAGAAACAUGAACAGUAUUGCUGUCUGUGUUAGCCCCUUUAUAAGGGAGGAAGUCAUCUUCAGCAUGUUGAAUUGUCAUCUUUCUUAGCAGUGCAAAUGACUAAAACUUAGCCAAUGUAGAGUUUAUCCAAAUUUGGAGCAAAGUGAAAAGAAACCAUUGUGAUUAUGGGGAAAAUAUUUGUAUGGGACUAUUAAAUAAAGACACGAAAAGAAGAAAACCCAAAUAUUAUAGGCAGAAAUGCUAAAGGUUAUAAAAUAUAUCAGGAUUGGAAGAAGGCAUGGAUAAAGAACAAAGUUCAGUUAGGAAAGAGAAACACAGAAGGAAGAGACACAAUAAAAGUCAUGUAUUCUGUGAGAAGUCAGACAGAUUUGUGGGGAAUGGAUUGGUUUGUUGUAUGGUAUGUAUUUUAGCAAUAAUCUUUAUGGCAGAGAAAGCUAAAAUCCCUUAGCUUGCAUGAAUGAUCACUUGCUAAAUUCCUCAAGGUAGGCAUGAUGAAGGAGGGUUUAGAGGAGACACAGACACAAUGAACUGACCUAGAUAGAAAGCCUUAGUAUACUCAGCUAGGAAUAGUGAUUCUGAGGACACACUGUGACAUGAUUAUGUCAUUACAUGUAUGGUAGUGAUGGGGAUGAUAGAAGGAAGAACUUAUGGCAUAUUUUCACCCCCACAAAAAUCAGUUAAAUAUUGGGACACUAACCAUCCAGGUCAAGAAAAGUCACAUGCCAUAGCCAUGGUAUUGCACAUCAUUCAUCUUGCAUUCUUUGAGAAUAAGAAGAUCAGUAAAUAGUUCAGAAGUGGGAAGCUUUGUCCAGGCCUGUGUGUGAACCCAAUGUUUUGUUUAGAAAUAGAACAAGUAAGUUCAUUGCUAUAGCAUAACACAAAAUUUGCAUAAGUGGUGGUCAGCAAAUCCUUGAAUGCUGCUUAAUGUGACGAGGUUGGUAAAAUCCUUUGUGCAACACUCUUACUCCCUGAAUGUUUUGCUGUGCUGGAACUUGUGCGUGCCAGACAAGGCCAAGCUGGGUGAAAGAGCAAUCAGCCACCUCUGCAACCUGCCACCUCCUGCUGGCAGGAUUUGUUUUUGCAUCCUGUGAAGAGCCAAGGAGGCACCAGGGCAUAAGUCUACUCACUUAUAUCUGUUUGUCUGAAACAUAACCCAUGUUUGUUUUUACAACAAAUAAAAUUGAUCUUGAAUAAAAA